rnacentral:rRNA from 1 species
GCUAGUAAUCGCGGAUCAGCAUGCCGCGGUGAAUACGUUCCCGGGCCUUGUACACACCGCCCGUCACACCAUGAGAGCCGGUAAUACCCGAAGUCAGUAUCCUAACCGCAAGGGGGGAGCUGCCGAAGGUAGGAUUGGCGAUUGGGGUGAAGUCGUAACAAGGUAAC